CCCACCAGCUUCAACACCAGCCCACCUCCAAUGACCCGACCCGGCCAAUACUCAAUUACCCUUCUUCUCCUACAAAUAAAAUACCCAGCUAAUAACUUUAAAACAAACGCACCACAACAACAACAUAGCGUACAAACCACAGCAAAACCGACAACAUACAGCCCAAAAUUGGACCCCAAUGGCUUAAACAACACAACUUCAGCAAUAUCAACCACGGGAUAAUGGAAAAUCUGAUGGUCUCCUCUCUCCCCUACUCUAUUUCCAUCUCCAUCAACACCAACUGUUUUUCCAUCACUUCUAUUCAAGAAAGCCAAAGCCCAAUGCCCUACAAUUUCAAGAAAAAAUGGGGAAAAUCCAAAGAACCACCGGAUUCAAGGUGUUUCACCUUUGAUUCGACAAUCACGGAGUUUAAUUCGAUAGGCUCAAGCUGGAUAGCGCCCAAUCCAUCACUUUUCCUUCAAGUUGAUUGAGAAGAGGUGACCCAUGGCCCUUCUUUAUUUCUUUUCAUCAUCAAUUCCUCUAACAUUUGCCUGUUCAAGAAUUCACUUUUUUUUAAAAGCUUUUCAAAGAAGCCGUUUGUGACCCAAUUUUGCCUAUAAAAGGAGUUUUUGUUCACCCUUUCAAGAGGGGUAAAGUGGUAGAGAAAUUGGAGGAAUAUUUGAGUUCAUCACACUCUCUGAUUCACUAAGUUCUCUAUUUUUCUUUACUUUAUUUCUUCUGAUUGUCGUCAAUAUCACUCGCUUCUUGAAGCAGUGUGAAAGCUAAUCGUCGUCCAAGUUCGCUACCCCGGAAAAGGUGGGAAAACAUGAGCGGGUAUCAUCAUUUGGAAGAAACCUGCAGCUCCUUUAUUUGGCAACUUGAUGCAUGACUUAGAAAGAUUUUAAGAAAAGCAUAAUUAAUUAAGAAGACUUGAAAACAGAGAUGGAUAAUGUUGUGUGCAAAACUCAUACAUACAUACAAAUGCAAAAAGCUUGAAGCUGUAUUGCAUAUAAUCUGAACUCACUCAUGUGCUCAGGUACAUAUAUAUAUAGUAGUAGUAGGUACCUGAAAGAAACGAUGGAGGGCAAAGUUCUUUGUGUUUGAAGAGAUGCUCAACUUGAGAAAUGUGAGAGAAAGUGAAGGAGUCAAUGCAAAGCUCGACGAGGUCUGCUCCUUCUUGUUUAGCUUUGUGCAUAGAAGCUGCCAUUUCCUCGGGGCUUUCACAUUCUAGUGUUGUGUACACUAACUGGUCAUGCUUGAAACCCAUCCCACGCACACAACUGCAAAGUGUUUUAAUGAAGGGCAAAAAGUUCAAAUCACUUUUUUUAAGGGUCUUCAUACUUUUAAUAUAUUAUAGAUAUAGAUUAUACAUAUAGGUUAUAGAUUAUAGAUAUAGAUAUAAAUUAUAGAUUUAUUGGUGAAAAUAUUUCCGACCAUUAAAUGAACUUUAUACCAUAAAAAGUUAAGUUAUUUAUUAAAAGAGAAAAUACAUCUUUUUCCCUUGAACUUGUCCUCCUAACUCACUUUAGCACUUAAACUUAAUUUAUGUUUUCUUUACCCACCUUAACAUCUUUAAAGUGAAUUAUUUUCACCCCUUAAUAUAUAAUACCACUCUCAUAACGAAGAGUGCAUCACACUCGCUGACACAUCAGCGCCACAUCACCGCCAUGUCGGAGCCACGUAAAUAAAGUAUUUUUUUAAUAACUUUAUAUAUAUAUAUAUAUAUUAUAUAUAUAUAUAUAUACAUAUUUUUAAAUAUAUAAAAAAUAGUUUAAAUUAAAACAAAAAUUCCACCCCCCAUUUUCCAUCUUCUUCAUAACCCCCAGUCCUAUCCCUUCCCUGCCCCCCUCCCGUCCAACCCCACACCUGCACACACACUCCGUUCUCCCCCAUACUGCCCCACCCGGACACACACCCAUCCACCUCCGUCCACCUCAAUACAGCCACACUUGUCAGAUUUUUCGGUGAAUUUUCGUCGAAAAACUCAGUUCACUUAAAAAAUUCAAUUAAUUAUCAAUUUGUUCAAACAAAUGAAUCUAAGAAAGGUGAGGAAAAAAUUAUGUUGGGUGUUUCUUUAACAAAUGGAUCUAAGAAAUUUGAAUGGGUGUUUAAUGGAGGAAAAUUUUCCUAGAAUUUUCUUGUUAAUAUUUUCCUCUGAAUAGUUUCCACUGAAUAAUUUUCAUUCAAAUUAUCCCAUUUUUGAAACUGAAACUAUCCCAUUUUUUGUUUCCCAUUUCUUUAACAAAUGGAUCUAAGAACAUUCUUUUGUUUUAUUUCUCUUGCUAAUAUUAACAAUGGAGGAAAAAUGGAUGUUUAAUGGAGGAAAAUGGGUAACAAAUAGGUGUUUAAUGGAGAAAAUUUUUUAAUUUAGUGUCUUAGUGGUUAAUUUUUGGUGGUGUUAAUGGAGGAAUAUGAAAAAAAAUUAAAGGAGAGAAGUGGUGAAAAAUGUAUUUGAGAUUGUUGAUGGAGAAAUUUGGGUAUUGUUGUUGAUAAUGUUUUGAAGAAGAAGAAGAAAAAAAUGUCUAUUUUUUAUUUUUUUUAAAAUUUUUUUAAUUAUAUUUUAAUAUAAUAUUACUAAAAUUAAUUUUUUUAAUAAAUAAACGCGCCC